rnacentral:lncRNA from 1 species
GAAAUGCAUACAAGCAGUGGCGAUCAAUGCCGAAUGCUCAAUAGUAAGCCGUCGGCAACCAGCCGACAAUCACCGCCCCUCGGGGCACACCGACCAAUAGGUCAUCGAACUGAAGAAACACAAGUACCGACCACUCAGGUCAACUAGGAUGGAACAACUCAACAUCCUAUCGAAGAUAUGCAAGUAUAAUCCAGAUGUAACGAACUGACCGUCUGGGUCAUAACCAAACAUCGGCAACUAGCCGACAAUCCAAACCCUCCAGGUAUACUGACCGUAUAGGUCACCAAAUAGUCCAACCGACCAAUAAGGUCACAGAUACGAAGUACGAGAACUGACCAACCAGGUCACAGAUGUCCCAAGAACGGAUGCAGAGAAUCGACUGAAUAUGUCACAACAGCAGAUGCAACGAACUGACCGAUUAGGUCACAAAACAUCGGCAACUAGCCGACAAUCCAACCCCUCAGGUAAACUGACCGCGUAGGUCACUAAGUAGUCCAACUGACCACAUAUAUCACAACAACGGAUGUGAAGUACGGGAACCGACCAACAGGUCAUAGAUGUCAUAAGCAGAUAAAUCUACUCUACUCCUAAACAUAGAAACAACUGAGUAGAUUAUGACGGAAACAAUAUGGGUGCAAGGCUCAAUAAAUACUAUGCAAUAGUAACAAUAGGAGAGCAAGGGUAAGAAACCAUCACCGAGCGUGCACCACUGUACCAACGUCGGAUCGAAGUACCUACCUGUAAGGAUGUCGCGUCUGUCUCCUGACUGCAAAAGAAUGUCGACAGGACCUAUAGAGGGUCCACCGGGUUAGUAUCUAACCCCCAACUAAUAACCACAGUAUCCACAACCCCACAAACAAUUUCACGAAGAUCGAUUUCCCAAUACCGAUUACCAUAACUCGCCGGAAGUCCCGAAAACCACACCGGGACGCCGUCGGGACCCACUAAGUGUCCCGAAACUCACCGACUCGUGCUACGAGUCACCCGCUACCACUAGACAUAAAUAAUCGUGCAUCAUGGCAGCAAACACAACUCCUCACGUCGAAACAAUUACCGUCGGAUAAUCGUUUCGAUCCAGGUUCCCGAAAGUGUCAAUUUCGACACCGGAACCCACCGUCGCUCACCCGUCAUUUCUGAACUCUCAAAAUGAUGCGAGUGACCAGCCAACAAGGCUCAGCGACUGAACAAUCCAUCACGAAGCACCGUCGGAAUAAUUCCGAACCGAACCCACGUUCCGUCGGCGGAUUUUGCCGAGAAACGAGUCGGAAAUCACUUAUCGAUCUCUGCAAAGGUUUGGGGCCUUGGACAAUCAGUCCAGAGGUCACCCACAGCAUGUACACGCUGCCCACAGCUACCACGAUAAACCAAAUUGCAUAAAGGCCCUCCCGAUUACCCGAAAUCACAUUAUUUUAUGUGAUUUCAGCACUUCUAUGGUGCGUCUACACAAACCAGAAGUCAACCAGCCAAGACGAGACACAUGCUGAUAGGUCUCGGCGUGCCGGAGGCCGUGCUCACCUUUCGGAGCACUUCCGGCCACUGUGGGAAGCGUACGACCAAUGCGAAUUCAGUGAAAUAGCGCGCACAGCGCUCAAAUCGCGUCAACUACACAAACCAGGGCAUGUAUGACCCUAACGGAGGUGGGCACAGUGUUCAUAACGAAACCACGAUGAUCGUGCUCACCUCUACAGUCAUUGGGGUGCCUUCGGAUCACCGAAAAGGUGACUGGAACCCCAAACAGUGUGCUACAGUAUUAAAAACAGCCAUACCGGAGCACAGGGAGCUAGGGUUGGUCGCCGGUGGCCGAACGGCGGGCGAUCCGGCCGGGGACGGGUGCAGCCGGUCGGAAGGGUCCGCGGCAGGUGCUGGCCGGCGGCGGGCGGUAACCAGUGGCACGGCGGAGGAGAUCAAUUCCGCUAAAUGCUCUCGAGUUCAAGGGCUCCCGGCGGCGAGGCGGCGGCGGGAGGAGCUCGGGGCGACGGCGAUCCGUCGGCGUAGGCCGAGGGAAAGGCGGUGCGCCCGGCAGUGGGCGGCGGCGACGCACGGAGGCGUUGCGGGCUCAAGCUCGGCCCGCACGCAUCCUGGACGGCCGCAAGAAGCUCGGGCAACGGCCGGCGGCGCGCGGGGACAGCGGGGAUGCGCGCAGGAGGUUCGCCGGAGUCUCAGGAGGUCAGCACGGCCGAUCCAUGGUGGCGACGGCGCGCGGACCUCAAUCCCACCCGAGCCCGGUCUGGGCUGACCGCAGAUGGCCGUAGGGGCCAGGGCGAUGCCGGCGAUGCACGGGGAUGGCCGGGACCGGCGGGGAUGGCGUCGGGGAUCCAACCACGGCCGGGAAAGAGCGGCCCGAGGCUGUGGAUGCCUUCCAAAAGCCAAAGGUCUAGAGGGUGGAGAAUUAGUUGAAAGAGAAUGAAGAAGAGGUGGCCGGGUUCCAGUUUUCCGGCGGCCGGGGCUCCUGCCGGCGGCCGGGAUGCGCGCAUGGGUUGGACAGGGAGCUGCUGAAGGUAGUUAGGGCACAGCUGGGGGACAAGGUCAGCCAGAUCUAGGGUUUCGUGCAAAGAAACCCAAGAUGCAAUUUAUAUACAAGUGAACUUUUGCAGAUAACCCCUCCAACACAAAAUAUUUAAACCUCAGCCCCUGCCAGGGCGUGCAAUAUGCGCGUAAGCACCUCGACGUUCAAAAUCACGCGAAAAGACGCAUGAAAUAUUAGUGUUUUCGAGAAGUUUCCGGUUUUGCCCAUUCAACCCCUCAGCGAACAUCUCGCAAUUUCAGGAGAUCCGUCCGUCGGAUUUCUGAUCGGAUCGUGCCAGCGCGUUCAGCACGACUGGGGUAUCGAAUCUAAUAUUUCGUUUCAUUCGAUUUGAUCUCCGAUUCACGACGAAACCGACCCUCGUUGUUUCCACCAUAACACCACAUAUUUAUAUAUGUAAAACCGAUCAAACCCCUUUUUCUCCACAACUGUGCAUUAGAUUUGAAAUCCGUCAGUGCCAUUAAUUCCAGAAUAGCUGAAUCAUUCGAAACGAGCUAUUGGACUGCUAUGAACGGAGUCCGAUACGCACCAAAAGCCAACUCUACUCCGUGGUUUCUCCGGAAAAACCAAGUUACUAUUCACUUAAGUGAAAAUUAAAGAUCACGUAACUUCUCCGUUCUAGCUUAUUUUCUCCUGAAACUUGACGAGUGCUUAUGUAAUUAAAUUACACAUAUAAACAUCGUCAACCAAGAGUUUAGCUGCACUGCCAAAAUCUCAGUCCUUAUAGGUUAUUACAGGAGGGUUUUCUGUAAUUUAGCCUAAAAGAAAACCUGAACUAUGGAUCAUUCAGAAUCUACUGUUUAACAUUUUAAAAUUCUGAUUUUAUCAUCUAAUUUUUCAAUUUGUUUAAUUUGUGUCGGGUGACAACACUUUAACUUUAAAAUUUAAAGUAAUUUUUUACUUUAAUAAAAAAUUAUAGUUUCUAGAAUUGCAUAAAGUAUACCAACUAAAUUUGUAAAAACAAUUAAACCAUAAAUUAAAAUUUUGAAGUCAAAUUAAGUGUCGUCAGCUGACUCAAAUCAAACAACAUGAAAGAUUAGAUAAUAAAAUCAAAUUUUCAAAAGGUGGGAUAACCGAUUUAAAAUGGUCAAUAAUUUAUAUAAAUUUUUUAUAUUUUUACUUAUUUAUAUAUAGGGUCUGACUGAAAUGCUUCUACUGUAAGAAGAAGUCUACUGUGUCACACUUGCAGCACAUCAGCAAUAACAAAUCAAUCAUAUCUCUUCUUUAAAAACCAUAGUAAAAAUAUUCUUUUAUAAUCAUAAUAUGAUAAAUUAAUUUUAAAAUAUUUAUAUAAUUAAUCAAAAAUAACAUAUCAGAUUAAUAUAAUCGGCGUAUUCUAAAAUAUUUUUCUAGGCAUUUAUUUUCGUUGCAGACACAUGGGCCAGUGUGCAGUACGAUGUACCUUAUCUGCUUUGGCGCGCCGCGGCAACUUGUCCCUCCUGCCACGUGGGACGGUGGGACCCCAUACAAAUCAGGUUAAUUGUAUCAUUGGUCCCCAGCUUUUACCAGAUUUUUAUUUUAAAACCCACCUUUUUAUUUUUGGAAAAAAACUUCAAAUAUUUUCGUACUUUCUUAGUUUAGUACCAUAUAAUUUAAAAUGUGUCAAUUUAGUGCAUUAUAAUUUCUUUUUUUUUUUUAUUAUCAAUUUCACUAUUUUUUUUAGUUAAAUUAGUAAUAAAAUUAAAACUAAAUGAUACUAAAAUAAAUAUUCAAUAAACUUAAAUAGAAUAUCUGAAGUUUUGUGUAUAUAAUUUAACGAAAUAAUAACGAAAAGCUGAUGAAAAGAUAAAAAUUAAACCACGGGACACUAACUUGAUUGAACCUAAAGGUGUCCGUAGACCGGGUCGGAUUUGGGUAGUUGAUAUACUGUACCCGUACCCUAAAAAAAAAUGAUUAAAAAUAUAUAUAUAUACCCUACCCAUUUAACAUCAGGUCGGGUCUGGAUCUGGGUACUUAAGUUACUAAUAUACCCAUUGAGUCUAUUUGAGCGGGUCUGGGUAGUGACUAUCCGUAUACUACCCAUUCAAAAUCGGUUACGGGUCGGAUACGGGUACCCGUAUAUAUAUAUAUAUAUAUAUAUAUAUAUAUAUAUAUAUAUAUAUAUAUAUAUAUAUAUAUAUAUAUAUAUAUAUAUAUANCGGCCAUUAUAUUUACUGAUUAAAAGUCUAAAAUUCAAAAUAAUUUUUUAUAUAAACACAAAAAAAUUAAAAAAUUAUGAUACCAUAUUAUAGAUAAAUAGAAUGUAAGUUGUAGUAAUUACUAAUAUUAUAUAAUAACAUUCAAAAAAAAGGGAAAAAAAAAAAGAUGAAUUAGAAAAUUUACGAAAUAGAAUAUUCAUUAAAAAAAACUAGAUUGUCGACUAUGAUUGGAAAAAGGAUUUGAAAAAAAAACUCACUUGUACCACACCUGUAAAGGAUUAAUAUCGCUAAUGAUGACUACGAUAGAAAUAUUGUUUCAUAAAAAACUCUUAGACUGAAAUGAAAUAAAAAAAAUAAAGAGUUAAAAACAAAAAGUAAAAAAAUUAGAAAAAGAAAGUAGUAAAAGAGCGGCUAAGAUUUCAAUGUUUUUUAGGAUGAAAAUACUUAGAAAUCCCUCGUCUAUAAGUCCAAUCAAAAUUGACCCCUCAACUUUAAAAAUUCAAAAUUUUUUUAUUUACUAUCGGAUAUUUUAUCGGGUCCGGAUUUAAAAACUCUUCCGGACCUCACCCAUUUAAAAGUUGGGUUCGGGUCGGGUCCAAAUCGAGUAUGGGUAUAAAAUAUCCGGACCCAUACCCGAAACUUUAAUGGGUAUUUUUUUUUACUCGUAUACUAUCCAUUUUUUAUCGGGUCCGGUUCGGACCGGGAUAGGGUCCGGGUUGGGUCCGGAUCGGGUAUGAUAUAUCGAAUAUUUUGGACAGCUUUAAUUGAACCACAGGACACUAAAGUGAGAAAAUACGAAAUUACAGAGUUGGUAUUUGAAGUUUCCUUUUAUUUUUGGCACCUAUAUCUCAAUCACGGUCCCUCACUUUUUAUCGCUCAAUUUUGUUUUUAGAAAAAAAAAUUUGGUCCCCAAUCUCUUCUCCUACAUGCUUUUCAGUAAUUUUUUCAGAAACUUGUAUAAGUUAAUAUUGAAGCACCAUCCACUUGGUACUUCUAAGUUUUUAACCCUUGGAUCCACUUCAUAAUUACUAAUAUCGCUUGGAUCAAAUACUAUUCCACCUACCACCACCGACCAUCACCUACCACCAUCAUCUCAACCUCACAUCUCUCCAUCUAAGGGCUAAAAACUCUAAAGCACCACCCACUUGGUACUUUUGGGAGUAUUCUAGCUCCACUAUAUAUAUAUAUAUAUAUAUAUAUAUAUAUAAAGCAGGGCUGCUGUGCUCUCCGUGCUUUUGAGCCGUUUUCGAUGAUGAAAUUUUCGACUCGACGAUCGGCUCCGUUAGACUUGAUCUAGCGUAUUUGAAGCUUCUAGAAAAUAAUUUUUGCGAUUUUUUGAUAUCAUUUACCUAGUGAUCGAAAUGAUUCAAAAUCAAUAAUUUUUAAUGGUUGAUAUCCGCCGUUAACGAUGUAGAAGUAUUCAAAUCAGAUAAAAUUUUGAUACAAAAUUCUUUAUACUAUCUACAAUAAGAUCAAUAUUUCUAAUCGAAAAUUUUAGUACUAUAUCACCACUUUUUAUAGGAUUUUUAUUUUCAGCCGUUAAAAAUUAUUGAUUUUAAAUUCUUUUGAUUACUAGGUAAAUGAUAUCGAAAAAUCGCAAAUAUUAUUAUCUAGAAACUUCAAAUACGCUAGAUCAAGUUUAAUGGAGCCGAUCGUUGAUUCGGAAACUCCAUUAUCGAAAACGGCUCAGGAGCACGGAGGCCUCCGUGCUCCUGAAAGCACAGCAGUCCUGCUCUCUCUCUCUCUCUCUCUCUCUCUAAUAUAAUAUUUAUAUAUAUAUAUAAUACUAUAGUAUAUAUAGUUGAGCUAGAAUACUCUCAAAAGCACCAAAGGGUUUUUAGCUAUUAGAUAGAGAGAUGCAGGAUUGAAAUGAUGGUGGUAUGUAGUGAUAGGUGGAAUAGUAUUUGAUCCAAAGGUUAUUAGUAAUCAAGGAGUAGAUUAAAGGGCUAAAAACUCAAAAGCACCAAAAGGUUGGUACUUCUGAGAGUAUUCUAGCUCAAUUAUUUAUAUAUAUAUAUAUAUAUAUAUAUAUAUAUGAACUAUAAAUUAUUUUGCAUUGACUACAAAAUUUUCAAUCUUUUAUUUUGUUUCAUUUUAGCCUAUUAAUAAUACUUUAAUCCUCAAUUUAUAAUUACAAAAAUUAUAUAAAUUAUACUAAUUAAAUCUAUAAAAAUAAAUAUCAUAUUUAAAUUUUAAAGCCAAAAAGCUCAAGUGUUAUUGACCUAUUCAAAUCAAAAUAAAAAAAAAUAAAAUAAAAUCAAAAUUAAAAAAAAAUCAGAUAAUAAACUCAAUAUGGUCCAUAGAAAAGUUUUGUACAAUUUUAUCAAAAUUGUAUCACUUUAUAUGGACAGGACAAUGUGAGAGAAAAAAAUAUUUUUUAUUUAAAAAAUAUUUAGGAAAUAUUUAAGACACAUAAAAAUCUAUUUUUUUUUAGAAAUCUACUAUACCAUACUUGCACCUAAACAUUAAUAAUAAAUCAAUUAUAUCACUCUAUUUGCAAAAAAAUAUAUAAUAAAAAUAAUUUUUUGUCACGCCCCGGGGUCCCUUUCGGUUUAAGAGAUAGCGGAAAAGCGUCUGAAAUUUUUUUUUUUGAAAACCUGACCCCAGAGUAUGUCAGAUCCGCCACAAAUAUAGGAGAUCCACUAUUCACACGGACAGAAUCUCCCCUGUAUUUGCACGGCGUCGCACAAGUACAAGAAUACAACCAGGAUACAACCACAACUAGAUGAAUAUAAAGAUCGCUAUACAUUCAUACAUUCACCAUUCACAUCACAGUUUUACAUUCAAUGUUUAAACAGAAAUCCAUAAAAAAAAUCCUUUUGAAAACUGUUUUCUAUACGGAAACCUUUAUUCUUUAAAAACGCUACCACGAGGGGUAGAAAACCUUUUAUUACAUUCAUGAAAAUCCACAUAUUCAAAUGUAAUAAAAAUACUGAACCAUAUAAACUAUCUAAGCUAUAUAUCAAGAAAAACACGGUACAGAGGCUAACCGAACGACCUGGGUCGGAAGAUCUAUCGAGCGCUACGUACGUGUCUCACGUCUCGUCUAAACCUCGACCGCCUUUACGCAAUACUGAAAAAUAGGGGGGAGGUAGAUCAUGUAAACAUCUCCGCCUCCCAGUGGGUACCGCAAGCCGAUGAGGCGAGGGUAUCACCGGAUCAGGAAGAACUAUAACAACAACAUGGGUCAGUGGAAAUAAAUAGGUAAUGAGCAGAUAUACAAUAGCGAUAAACUGAAAGGAAGUAAGAACUAUACUGAAUAAACGCGCUACCGCUACUGAACUGAACAGAAAGCAUACAUGAAUAUCUACUAUAGUAGCAAGACAACUUAUAAAGUAAGAUCUGUAAGUAUGCAUGCAAUGACUGCUACUAUAGACAUAAUGCGUCAACCGGUCAAGAAGUCCAAAAGUAACCAAUCUGAAACAAUGCUCUCUUGGUCAGCACCGCAGACCUCAAGCCAGUGCCAACUACUACUCUCCAGUGACAUAUAACCUCUAGGGCUCACGGUUGUCACCAUUCAACCACUUUUCCGCAAAAGAACAUCCUUGCGGUGGAUCAGACGCGCCAGUGUUCGUGAAAUGCGACGAGUAUCGGGCGAUCAAUGCAAUAUGCUCAAUAAUAACCGUGGCAACCAGCCGACAAUCCUGCCCCCAGGGCCCAUCGACCGCAUAGCGUCGUCAACUGUAAGGAAGCACAAGAACGACUCACUCAGGUCAACUAGGAUGGAAACAUCGACAUCCUCUCAAACAUAUGCAAAUACUCCUCAAUGAACCACAAGAACUGACAACUCAGAUCAACUGAAUAUGAAAACUCGACCAAAUCAUGUCAACACAGUACAGGAUAUGAAACUCGACAAUCAUGUCACAAUAUAGGAUAUGAAACGACAAUCAUGUACAAGUACAGAAUAUGAAACGUCGACCAUCAUGUCACAAGGUAAUAGGAUAUGAAACUCGACAUCAUGUCACAAGUAUAGGAUAUGAAUAAAGUAUAAUCAUCCGUCGGCAACUAACCGACAAUCCACCCUCAGGGUAUACCGACCUCAACGGUCAUCAGACAACAAAGGUUGAGGAACUCACCGAAUAGGUCACAAUACUGAAUACUAGAGAUCGACCGACUAGAUCGCUAAUCUCAACAGAUAAUUACAGAUCGCUUCUACUAUAAAUAUGAAACAGGGUAUGCAGAAUAGCUAAGUAGAGCAACAAGGAAACAUGGUAUCACAUACAAGAUAGACUAUACUGCCUACACAUGUAUACUAAGCAUGGAAACAUCUGAGUUAGAGUAUAAUCAAACAACGUGGGUGUAAUGUAAACAAUAUAGAUGCAAAGCUUCAACAUAUAAUAUAAGCAUGGAUAAUAAAAAGAGCAAGGGAAGAAACCAUCACGAGCGUGCACCACUGUACCAACGUCGGAUCGAAGUACCCACCUGUAC